rnacentral:rRNA from 1 species
UACGGAGGAUGCGAGCGUUAUCCGGAUUUAUUGGGUUUAAAGGGUGCGCAGGCGGCGUGUCGAGUCAGCGGUAAAAUGUCGGGGCUCAACCCCGGCCGGCCGUUGAAACUGGCGUGCUCGAGUUGGAGAGAAGUAUGCGGAAUUCGUGGUGUAGCGGUGAAAUGCAUAGAUAUCACGAAGAACCCCGAUUGCGAAGGCAGCAUACCGGCUCCACACUGACGCUGAGGCACGAAAGCGUGGGUAUCGAACAGG